CCACCGACCCCAUUGCCCCAGGACGGUUCUUCUGCAGUGGGACCCGGCCGAGGACGAGCGUGAAUGCGUCCAGUCCUUUCUGAACCCCUAGGAACUGACCCCUGCAGUCUUGGUAUGGAAAGGCCGUGCUGUCUAUGAGUACUUAAACAAUCGCCUCAUGUGUUAAAAGCCCACAAAUUAAGGACUAAGGUCAUGACACCACUGCUCCAGUGUCAUGCAAGCAGUGGCAGAAGAGAUGACUGCUUUGUAUUCAAGCCAAGGGAGUAAGCAGAUACAGAUAUUUCCCCUACAGGAGACUUGGUGUGCACAGCACCAGAGAAGCAGAGCAACGAGUAGGAGCUGGGUGUUAUUCCAUGCACCGGGCAUUCCCAAACUACUGCAGAGAGAGAUCUGGUUGAUGAGGGUGUCACUCUGAAGAUGACCGUGCUGCUGAUACACUGCUCCAGUGAGAUGGGCAGCACUACAGAGAUGCCAUGGCACUGGUGGCAUCCCACAUGGAGCACCACCAGGAGGACACCUCUGCGCUCUUGUUGCAGAGCUCGAGUACAAGACCCAGUCCCACGUGAAGUUACCAAUGAUGGAAAUGCACCCCUCUUGCAAGUCAAGAGGUUGACAUGCAUCCAUUUUACAAGGGUCUUCCACAUAUGUUUCAUCUACAUCUAAUAAAAUCUAUUGUAUGUUAAUUAAA